rnacentral:rRNA from 1 species
CGUUGUCCGGAUUUAUUGGGCGGCAAGAGCGUGUAGGCGGCCAGGUAGGGCUGGUGUGAAAACUCGAGGCUCAACCUCGAGACGUCGGCGGAAACCAUCUGGCUAGAGUCCGGAAGAGGAGAGUGGAAUUCCUGGUGUAGCGGUGAAAUGCGCAGAUAUCAGGAAGAACACCCGUGGCGAAGGCGGCUCUCUGGGAAGGUACUGACGCUGAGACGCGAAAGCGUGGGGAGCGAACAGG